rnacentral:rRNA from 1 species
AUUCCAGCUCCAGUAGCGUAUAUUAUUACUGUUGUAGUUAAAAAGCUCGUAGUUGAAUAUCUGGCGUUGGGAAGCCCUGCCCGCCGCGAUUCGCGUGUGAGUUGUGGGGCGUCCCCGCCAUCCUGUGUGGGAGCCCGCCUACCCUUCAUUGGGCCGGGCGGUGCGAGCACACUCAGUUACUUUGAGAAAAUCUGCGCGUUCAAAGCAGGCACACGCUAUGAAAGCUUCAGCAUGGAAUAACAAGAUAGGACCUGGGUCUCUAUUUUGUUGGUUUCUAGGAUCGAGGUGAUGAUUGAUAGGGACAGUUGGGGGUGCUUGUAUUUAACGGCCAGAGGUGAAAUUCUUGGAUUCGUUAAAGACAAACUACCGCGAAAGCAUUCACCAAGGAUGUCUUCAUCG